rnacentral:rRNA from 1 species
GGGCGAGAGCCUGAUCCAGCCAUGCCGCGUGCAGGAAGACUGCCCUAUGGGUUGUAAACUGCUUUUAUACGGGAAGAAACACCCCCUCGUGUGGGGGCUUGACGGUACCGUAUGAAUAAGGAUCGGCUAACUCCGUGCCAGCAGCCGCGGUAAUACGGAGGAUCCAAGCGUUAUCCGGAAUCAUUGGGUUUAAAGGGUCCGUAGGCGGGUGCGUAAGUCAGUGGUGAAAGUCUGCAGCUUAACUGUAGAACUGCCAUUGAUACUGCACACCUUGAGUAAUUAUGAAGUGGUUAGAAUAUGUAGUGUAGCGGUGAAAUGCAUAGAUAUUACAUAGAAUACCGAUUGCGAAGGCAGAUCACUAAUAAUUUACUGACGCUGAUGGACGAAAGCGUAGGUAGCGAACAGGAUUUUAUACCCUGGUAGUCUACGCCGUAAACGAUGGUUACUAGCUGUUUGGACCGAUUAAGAGCUGAGUGGCUAAACGAAAGUGAUAAGUAACCCACCUGGGGAGUACG